UCACAGGGACCUGAAAGGAGGAGAUGCUAUUAAUCCUACUUGUAAAUGUGUCCCUGCAAACAGUACAGGGACAUCAAGGAACCUAUUCGGGGCAAGAUGGCCAUCCCAAGGAACGCUACCUCAAUACGGAGAAAGAGACUCUGCUGACACGAUAGAGUUGAGGGUUUUGGGAGAGGGAGAUGAGGCUGGAUUAACUGGCUAGGCCUGCUGCCAUCACAGGGUCCUAAGUGAGAAAGGCAGGAGGCUCAGAGUCAGCGGAGGGGAUGUGGCCACGGGAGCAGAGGUCGGAGAGAUGUCCUUGCAUCUGGAAGGGGCCAAAAGCCAAGGAAUGUGGGUGCCUCUGGGAACUGGAGCAGGCAAGGAAAUGGACUCACCCCCGCAGCCUCCAGCAGGGCCCCGUGCUGCUGAUAACUUGACAUGAGGUGUUCAUGAGUCUCCUUUCCAACUGCUGUCCUCCGGAUCUGUACAAGACUAAAUCUAUGUUGUUUUAAGCUACUGCAUUUGUGAUAGUUUAUUACAGCAGCUACGGGACACUCACAUAAUACCCAAGAGAGAUGUGUGCAUUCAUUUCACCAGGAGACCUGGAUGCGAAGGUUCACAGCAGCUUUACUGAUGACGGUUAGAAGGUGGAAACAACAGAAGUUUCCUCAAAAGGUGAUGGAGAAACAUGGCGUGGUAUGUCCACACAAUGCAAUGGGCACAGAUCCAGGCUGAUGACUAUCACUGGGCACAGAUCCAGGCUGGGGCCAAGAUGGGAACCUUCAUCUUUUGCUUCCUGGCCAGAGUGCUCUGCCCCAGCACCUGCCUUGUCAAAGCCCUGGUGGACCCAUGGGAUGGCCCAGUUCUUGCACCUUCACUGGGAGGAAAGCAGAGACAAUGACUCCAUUUUACAGUUGGGUAAAGAGAGGCUCAGGGCCAUGCUGCCCAGGGAGGAGCUGAAGAGAGACCCGAGGCCUGCUGGGGACCAGAUCUUCUCAAUGGUGGUUCCUUUUGGCAUCCUCUCUCCAAGCCCAGUGCAGAGCCUGGCACGUGGGAGAGCUUUAUGGGAGUUUGCUGAAUAAAUGACAGAGAGCAGGUGUGGUGUGAGCUCUGGUGGCUGGACUCACCUUCCCAUCCCCUGCAGACCUGUCCUCCUGACAGGGUCCAAUGUGCACGGGUUUGGGACACAGUUGGGAGUGUCCUGACGGAUGUAGUCACUCUCAGGGGAUGUCAGUCCACGGACACAGAUGCAGCAAGGUCCCUGGAGCCCUGCCGGCCUCCCUGCACACCCUCUGCACUCUGAGGAAUGCUCUCUGCCGGGAUGGGGCACCUCGGGCAUGGCAUGGGAGGCCUCUAAUGUGGCCCA
rnacentral:lncRNA from 1 species